rnacentral:misc_RNA from 1 species
UCCGAGUUGACCCCGGCAGUCUCCUAUGAGUCCCCGACAUUACUCGCUGGCAACAUAGGACGAGGGUUGCGCUCGUUGCGGGACUUAACCCAACAUCUCACGACACGAGCUGACGACAACCAUGCACCACCUGUGCACGACCCUUACGGACCUCCCAUCUCUGGAAGAUUUCCGUGCAUGUCAAGCCUAGGUAAGGUUCUUCGCGUUGCGUCGAAUUAAACCACAUGCUCCACCGCUUGUGCGGGCCCCCGUCAAUUCCUUUGAGUUUCAACCUUGCGGCCGUACUCCCCAGGCGGGGUACUUACUGCGUUAGCUGCGGCACGGAGACCGUGGAAUGGCCCCCACACCUAGCGCCCAACGUUUACGGCGUGGACUAC